rnacentral:rRNA from 1 species
UGGGGAAUAUUGGACAAUGGGCGAAAGCCUGAUCCAGCCAUGCCGCGUGAGUGAUUUGAAGGCCCUAGGGUUGUAAAGCUCUUUCGGCGGGGAAGAUGAUGACGGUACCCGCAGAAGAAGCCCCGGCUAACUCCGUGCCAGCAGCCGCGGUAAUACGGAGGGGGCUAGCGUUGCUCGGAAUCACUGGGCGUAAAGCGAGCGUAGGCGGCCGCGCAAGUCGGGGGUGAAAGCCCGGGGCUCAACCCCGGAACUGCCCUCGAAACUGCGUGGCUAGAGGCCGGGAGAGGAGAGUGGAAUUCCCAGUGGAGAGGUGAAAUUCGCAGAUAUUGGGAGGAACACCGGUGGCGAAAGCGGCUCUCUGGAACGGUUCUGACGCUGAGGCUCGAAAGCGUGGGGAGCAAACAGGAUUAGAUACCCCCGUAGUCC